rnacentral:rRNA from 1 species
GAUGAACGCCGGCGGUGUGCCUAAUACAUGCAAGUCGUACGCACUGGCCCAAUUGAUGGAUGGUGCUUGCACCUGAUUGACGAUGGAUCACCAGUGAGUGGCGGACGGGUGAGUAACACGUAGGUAACCUGCCCCGGAGCGGGGGAUAACAUUUGGAAACAGAUGCUAAUACCGCAUAACAACAAAAGCCACAUGACUUUUGUUUGAAAGAUGGCUUUGGCUAUCACUCUGGGAUGGACCUGCGGUGCAUUAGCUAGUUGGUAAGGUAACGGCUUACCAAGGCGAUGAUGCAUAGCCGAGUUGAGAGACUGAUCGGCCACAAUGGAACUGAGACACGGUCCAUACUCCUACGGGAGGCAGCAGUAGGGAAUCUUCCACAAUGGGCGCAAGCCUGAUGGAGCAACACCGCGUGAGUGAAGAAGGGUUUCGGCUCGUAAAGCUCUGUUGUUGGAGAAGAACGUGCGUGAGAGUAACUGUUCACGCAGUGACGGUAUCCAACCAGAAAGUCACGGCUAAC